AGAGUUUGAUCAUGGCUCAGGAUGAACGCUAGCGGCAGGCCUAAUACAUGCAAGUCGAACGGGUCGGGGUAGCAAUACCUCGAUUAGUGGCGCACGGGUGCGUAACGCGUAUGCAACCUACCUUUUAUUGGGGGAUAGCCCGAAGAAAUUCAGAUUAAUACCGCAUAAUAUCAUUUGAGGGCAUCUGAAGAUGAUGAAAGCUACGGCGAUAAAAGAUGGGCAUGCGUGUCAUUAGCUAGUUGGUGAGGUAACGGCUCACCAAGGCGACGAUGACUAGGGGUUCUGAGAGGAUGAUCCCCCACACUGGUACUGAGAUACGGACCAGACUCCUACGGGAGGCAGCAGUAGGGAAUAUUGGGCAAUGGAGGCAACUCUGACCCAGCCAUGCCGCGUGAAGGAUGAAGGCCUUCUGGGUUGUAAACUUCUUUUAUCUAGGAAGAAAAUCCUCUUGCGAGAGGCACUGACGGUACUAGAUGAAUAAGCACCGGCUAACUCCGUGCCAGCAGCCGCGGUAAUACGGAGGGUGCAAGCGUUGUCCGGAUUUAUUGGGUUUAAAGGGUGCGUAGGCGGCCAAGUAAGUCCGUGGUGAAAGCCAACAGCUCAACUGUUGAACUGCCAUGGAUACUGCUAGGCUUGAGUACAGACGAGGUAGGCGGAAUGGAUAGUGUAGCGGUGAAAUGCAUAGAUACUAUCCAGAACACCGAUUGCGAAGGCAGCUUACUAGACUGUCACUGACGCUGAGGCACGAAAGCGUGGGGAGCGAACAGGAUUAGAUACCCUAGUAGUCC
rnacentral:rRNA from 1 species